rnacentral:lncRNA from 1 species
UAUCAUUCCGUAAAUCUAGUUGAUCAAAGCUUUCAUAAUUUUGAAUUUCAAUGUUUCAUUUUGAACAUUAUACAUGGAAACAACUUUAUUGAUAAUACAUCUUCAAAUUAUCGAUAUUUCAAGAACAAGGAAUAGUCAUUCCAUCAAGAGUUUCUACCUGAUAUGCGUCCGGUCGAAGUAUCUCGGUUAUUCUGUAGGGUCCUUCCUAAUUUGAAGAUAAUUUUUUUCUGAUCUAGAGGCU